rnacentral:rRNA from 1 species
AUACGGAGGGUGCAAGCGUUAUUCGGAAUCACUGGGCGUAAAGGACGCGUAGGCGGGUUGGCAAGUCAGAUGUGAAAUCCUACAGCUUAACUGUAGAACUGCAUUUGAACCUGCUAACCUAGAGUAUGGGAGGGUGAGAUGGAAUUAGUGGUGUAGGGGUAAAAUCCGUAGAUAUCACUAGGAAUACCGAAAGCGAAGGCGAUCUCCUGGAACAUAACUGACGCUAAGGCGUGAAAGCGUGGGGAGCAAACAGGAUUAGAAACCCUAGUAGUCC